CCGCGCGCUCGGCGGGACCGAGAAGUGGAUGGAGCUUCUCGGCUCCGGAAUGGUGCACCCGAAGGUGAUCGAGGCCUGCGGGCUCGAUCCUGAAGUCUGGCAGGGAUUCGCCUUCGGCUGCGGAAUCGACCGCCUGGCGAUGCUCAAAUACGGCAUGGACGACCUUCGCGCCUUCUUCGACGGCGAUAGCCGCUGGCUGAAGCAUUACGGCUUCUCGGCGCUCGACGUU
rnacentral:misc_RNA from 1 species